AAAUGCGAUAAUUAAUGUGAAUUGCAGAAUUCAGUGAAUCAUCGAGUCUUUGAACGCACAUUGCGCCCCCUGGUAUUCCGGGGGGCAUGCCUGUCCGAGCGUCAUUGCUGCCCUCAAGCACGGCUUGUGUGUUGGGCUUCCGUCCCUGGCAACGGGGACGGGCCCAAAAGGCAGUGGCGGCACCAUGUCUGGUCCUCGAGCGUAUGGGGCUUUGUCACCCGCUCCCGUAGGUCCAGCUGGCAGCUAGCCUCGCAACCAAUCUUUUUAACCAGGUUGAUCUCGGAUCAGGUAGGGAUACCCGCUGAACUUAAGC
rnacentral:misc_RNA from 1 species